rnacentral:rRNA from 1 species
UUUAGUGGCGGACGGGUGAGUAACGCGUGGGAAACCUGCCUUANACAGGGGGAUAACACUUAGAAAUAGGUGCUAAUACCGCAUAAGCGCACAGUCCCGCAUGGGACAGUGUGAAAAACUGAGGUGGUGUAAGAUGGACCCGCGUCUGAUUAGCUAGUUGGUGGGGUAACGGCCCACCAAGGCGACGAUCAGUAGCCGGCCUGAGAGGGUGGACGGCCACAUUGGGACUGAGACACGGCCCAAACUCCUACGGAAGGCAGCAG